rnacentral:lncRNA from 1 species
AACUUUCUUCCUUAUAAGCCAACUGAGUUUGCUUAAGACUAUUAUCAUCGGUACACCUCAUUCCAACAACCUCGCCCAAGUUGAGCUGCAAAAGAUCCAACGCAGAAUCCUCAUGAUUCUUUAAAGAAGAUACUUGGCCAAGAGCAGGUAAUUCUGAUUCAGGUCUACUUAAUUUAGGACCUGCAAGCUUCUCAUUGUUAUUCACUGGGCAAUUCAGGUCCUUGCCAGCCUUAACAACCCCAUCUACUUUUGAAUCAAGUGUAACAUCAAAGUUGUUCUGCAACUUCAACUCGGUAUCACCAUCAUGUGAAAUAUUCCAAUUCCUUCCACUAACUGCCUCAUUAACAUUUCUGCCAUCUUGAAU